UACAGAGGUCUCAAGCGUUGUUCGGAUUCAUUGGGCGUAAAGGGCGUGUAGGUGGCGCCGUAAGUCGGGUGUGAAAUUUCGGAGCUUAACUCCGAAACUGCAUUCGAUACUGCGGUGCUUGAGGACUGGAGAGGAGACUGGAAUUCAUGGUGUAGCAGUGAAAUGCGUAGAGAUCAUGAGGAAGACCAGUGGCGAAGGCGGGUCUCUGGACAGUUCCUGACGCUGAGACACGAAGGCCAGGGGAGCAAACGGG
rnacentral:rRNA from 1 species